rnacentral:rRNA from 1 species
CCUACGGGUGGCAGCAGUGGGGCAUCUUGCACAAUGGGGGAAACCCUGAUGCAUCUCCUCCUCUUUCUCUCUUCCUUCUUUCUUUCUUUCCCUCUCUCUCCUCCUUUCCUCCCCUUCCUUUCCCUGCCUCCGCCGCCCCGGCUCCCUCCGUGCCCGCCGCCGCGGUCAUCCGUAGGGGGCCCGCGUUAUCCGGAUUUACUGGUGGGACCGGGAGCGUAGACGGUCCUGCCCUCCAUCUGUGACAGCCCGGGUCUCACCCCCUGGACUGCAUUUGGAACUGUAAGGCUAGAGUGUCGGAGAGGCAGGCGGAAUUCCUAGUGUAGCGGUGAAAUGCGUAGAUAUUAGGAGGAACACCAGGGGCGAAGGCAGCCUGCUGGACGAUGACUGACGUGGAGGCGCGAAAGCGUGGGGAGCAAACAGGAUGAGAGACCCGGGUAGUC